UUAACUCAUAUUUGUAUGGAGCGUGAUCGUUGGCCUACGUAUGCCGCUAGGGGUGCUGUUCCAACUGCAUACAAAAUUGGGCUA
rnacentral:pre_miRNA from 1 species